UCGAGAAUCUUCCGCAAUGGACGCAAGUCUGACGGAGCGACACCGCGUGAUCGAUGAAGUGCUUCGGUAUGUAAAGAUCUUUUAUGAGGGAAGAAGUUUAUUGACGGUACCUCAUGAAUAAGGGCCUGCAAAACUCGUGCCAGCAGCAGCGGUAAUACGAGUGGCCCAAGCGUUAUCCGGAAUUAUUGGGCGUAAAGGGUGUGUAGGUGGUUAUAUUAGUCCGAUGUCUAACCUCUGUGCUCAACAUGGAGACAGCAUUGGAAACGGUAUGACUAGAGUAUGUUAGGGGUAAGCGGAACUCAUAGUGUAGGGGUGAAAUCCGUUGAUAUUAUGGGGAACACCAAAAGCGAAGGCAGCUUACUGGAACAUUACUGACACUGAAACACGAAAGCGUGGGUAG
rnacentral:rRNA from 1 species